UCCUWCGGGGGGGGSUGCAGUAGGGAAUUUUCCACAAUGGACGAAAGUCUGAUGGAGCAACGCCGCGUGAACGAUGAAGGUCUUCGGAUUGUAAAGUUCUGUUGUUAGGGACGAACAAGUACCGUUCGAAUAGGGCGGUACCUUGACGGUACCUGACGAGAAAGCCACGGCUAACUACGUGCCAGCAGCCGCGGUAAUACGUAGGUGGCAAGCGUUGUCCGGAUUUAUUGGGCGUAAAGCGCGCGCAGGCGGCUAUGUAAGUCUGGUGUUAAAGCCCGGAGCUCAACUCCGGUUCGCAUCGGAAACUGUGUAGCUUGAGUGCAGAAGAGGAAAGCGGUAUUCCACGUGUAGCGGUGAAAUGCGUAGAGAUGUGGAGGAACACCAGUGGCGAAGGCGGCUUUCUGGUCUGUAACUGACGCUGAGGCGCGAAAGCGUGGGGAGCAAACAGGAUUAGAUACCCCCWGGGGWAGYMA
rnacentral:rRNA from 1 species